rnacentral:rRNA from 1 species
UACGAACCGUGCGAACGUUGUUCGGAAUCACUGGGCUUAAAGGGCGCGUAGGCGGGCUGCCAAGUCCGUGGUGAAAUCCUCCGGCUCAACCGGAGAACGGCCUCGGAUACUGGCGGCCUCGAGGCAGGUAGGGGCAAGCGGAACUGUGGGUGGAGCGGUGAAAUGCGUUGAUAUCCACAGGAACUCCGGUGGCGAAGGCGGCUUGCUGGAUCUUUUCUGACGCUGAGGCGCGAAAGCUAGGGGAGCAAACGGG